rnacentral:rRNA from 1 species
GACGAACGCUGGCGGCGUGCUUAACACAUGCAAGUCGAACGAGUGGCGAACGGGUGAGUAAUACGUGGGUAACCUGCCCUCUUUUUGGGAUAAGCCUUUGAAACGGGGUCUAAUACCGACUAAGGGGGAUGGGCUCGCGGCCUAUCAGCUUGUUGGUGGGGUGAUGGCCUACCAAGGCGGUGACGGGUAGCCGGCCUGAGAGGGUGACCGGGCACAGGGGGACGGAGAUACGGCCCAGACUCCGACGAGGGGGAGCAGUGGGGGAUAUUGGACAAUGGGCGAAAGACUGAUGCAGCGACGCCGCGGGGGGGAUGAAGGCUUUCGGGUUGUAAAAGUCGGGCGCAAGCGAACGGGUAGGUGGAGAAGAAGCGCCGGCUAACUACGUGCCAGCAGCCGCGGUAAUUC